CCUACGGGGGGCAGCAGUGAGGAAUAUUGGUCAAUGGGCGGAAGCCUGAACCAGCCAAGUAGCGUGCGGGAUGAAGGCCCUACGGGUCGUAAACUGCUUUUGCACGGGGAUAAAACCCUCCACUUGUGGAGGUCUGCAGGUACCGUGCGAAUAAGGGCCGGCAAAUCCCGUGCCAGCAGCCGCGGUAAUACGGAGGGCCCGAGGGUUACCAGGUUUCAUGGGGCUUAAGGGGAGCGUAGGCGGGCGUUCAAGUCAGCUGUAAAAUCGCGCGGCUCAACGGCGACCCGCGGUUGAAACUGGACGGCUUGAGUUCACAAGAGGCAGGCGGAAUUCGUGGUGUAGCGGUGAAAUGCAUAGAUAUCACGAGGAACCCCGAUUGCGAAGGCAGCCUGCCGGGGUGCGACUGACGCUGAGGCUCGAAGGUGCGGGUAUCAAACAGGAUUAGAUACCCGUGUAGUC
rnacentral:rRNA from 1 species